GCAUAUCAAUAAGCGGAGGAAAAGAAACCAACAGGGAUUGCCUCAGUAACGGCGAGUGAAGCGGCAACAGCUCAAAUUUGAAAUCUGGCCCUUUCAGGGUCCGAGUUGUAAUUUGUAGAAGAUGCUUUGGGUGUGGCUCCGGUCUAAGUUCCUUGGAACAGGACGUCAUAGAGGGUGAGAAUCCCGUAUGUGACUGGCUGCCUCCGCCCGUGUAAAGCUCUUUCGACGAGUCGAGUUGUUUGGGAAUGCAGCUCAAAAUGGGUGGUAAAUUUCAUCUAAAGCUAAAUAUUGGCCAGAGACCGAUAGCGCACAAGUAGAGUGAUCGAAAGAUGAAAAGCACUUUGGAAAGAGAGUUAAACAGUACGUGAAAUUGUUGAAAGGGAAGCGCUUGCAAUCAGACUUGCGCGCGGCCGAUCAUCCGGGGUUCUCCCCGGUGCACUCGGCCGCGCUCAGGCCAGCAUCGGUUUUGGUGGUGGGAUAAAGGCCUUGGGAAUGUAGCUCCUCUCGGGGAGUGUUAUAGCCCUCGGUGCAAUGCCGCCUACCGGGACCGAGGACCGCGCUUCGGCUAGGAUGCUGGCGUAAUGGUUGCAAGCGACCCGUCUUGAAACACGGACCAAGGAGUCUAACAUUUAUGCGAGUGUUUGGGUGUUAAACCCAUACGCGUAAUGAAAGUGAACGGAGGUGAGAACCCUUAAGGGUGCAUCAUCGACCGAUCCUGAUGUCUUCGGAUGGAUUUGAGUAAGAGCAUAACUGUUGGGACCCGAAAGAUGGUGAACUAUGCCUGAAUAGGGUGAAGCCAGAGGAAACUCUGGUGGAGGCUCGCAGCGGUUCUGACGUGCAAAUCGAUCGUCAAAUUUGGGUAUAGGGCGAAAGACUAAUCGAACAUCUAGUACUGUCUGCAG
rnacentral:rRNA from 1 species